ACAAUUUUCUUUACAAAUUUAUAGAACAAAGGUAUAUUCUUCGAACCUUAUUGGAGUGAAUAGGAUCGCUGACAACAGUAAGCAGGAUGGCAACAGAACGAAAGUUUGUAUUUUGGACAUUUUUAUUCGCACUCCACUGUAUAAAUACCUGUAUGAACCAACGGCUUGAUUACGACUCGGCCACAUGUUCUGGACCAGAUGAAAUAGAUACUUUAAAAGCAACUGUUCAGCAUCAUGCUAUUAAAUGGGAAAUACUGGAGGAAGAAUUAAAUUCAGUCAAGGAAACACUGUCCAAACUUGAGAAAGAAUUAAACGCAGUGAAAGAAACGUGGCCCAGAUUCCAUCACUUUAUAAUGGGAGUGCUUGUGAAAGAUUUAAACACAGUCAAACUCGAUCAAGCCAAUAAAACAGAAGUGCUUGAGAAAGAAUUAUACUCAGUCAAGGAAACACUAUCCAAACUCGAUCAAGCUAAUAAAACGGAAAUGCUUGCGAAAAAAUUAAACUCAAUCAAGGAAACACUUUCCAAACUCGAUCAAGCUAAUAAAACGGAAAUGCUUGAGAAAAAAAAUUAACUCAGUCGAGGAUACAGUGUUCAAACUCUAUCAAUCUGAACUCGAUCAAGCUAUUAAAACGGAAAUGCUUGAGAAAGAACUAAACUCAAUCAAGGAAGCACUGUCCAUAUGUAAGAAUCUUUUAACAGAUUUUUUUCAAUCAAUGUUUUGCAUAUUUUAUUCAAUUAAAUAUAUAACAAUAUCAAA